UUGCUGGCACCACUGCCCCUGCUUGCUGGCUGCUGCCUUCUGCCUGGCCUGCCACAGUGACUGUUCGCUCUGUGCUGCCCCUCUGCCAUGCCGCCCUGCCUUGGAGCCAGCCAACUAUGGCUUGAAACCUCGACAUACUGUGAGUUGAAACAAACCUUUCCUCCUCCUUAACUUGCGGGUAUCAGGAGAAAAAUAACCGAGACUUAGGUUCAUACUGAGCUUCAUCGCCAGCUCUUUUGUAUUUUGUUUUUUUUUUGUUGUUGUUGUUGUUGUUUGAUUUUUGGUUUUUUUUUGAGACAAGGUCUCACGAGUGCGGAGGCUGGUCUUGAACUUGUGAUCCUCGUGCCUCAACUGGGGUGAUGGGAUUACAGGCAUGCAGCCAUUACAAGGAUUCAGCACAGAGACGUCCUGUUUGGAACUGCAGCUGUCUGCGGAAGCAAGCACCUCUGUCCAUGAAGGAGGAGACCCAUGCUGGAGGCCCUCUGCAGCACCUGCCAAAGCCCUGUUGGCCUUCAAGACCCAGCUCACGUCUCUCCUGGCUACCGCUGUCAUCAGCACCCUCUGAGUCCAUCAUAGAUUCUAUCCCUUGCAGGUGCACAGAUUCUAUCCCUCGCAUGUGCUUUCCACUGUCAGGACUCUGAUGCAUUUAUGUGAUUGUCUCCUCACAGCAGACGGGGUGAGGGGCUCUGAAGCCUGUGUUUCAGAACCAGAAUAGCGCCUACUGGCUAUUCAAUAAAUGAACAUUGCACUGAAUAAAAUAGAAACCACCAAUAAAGGAAGUAGCUGCACAGUAUCAGAGGGAUUGAAUGUCAGGCAGGAUGAAAGUGAGGUGGAUGACAGAGAGGCUGUGAUCUCAGUCUUCCUAGACCCCUCACUUCACUUGGAGGCCCAAGGGUCCAGGUGAGAGAGGAGCAAGCCUUUGAGCUUGAAAUGUCUCAGGUGAUGCGGGAGCCAGGGGAAAAAUAAUGUAGUCUGUAAAGAGCCAUGUGGCUGAUGGAGUUGAAAAGCAGAGGUAGAACCCAGAGGGAAGGAAAGCGCCCUAGGGAAGAGGAAAUUAGGCAGCGUCCUACCCUUACUCUUUACCUGACAGCUGUCACCCAGCUUCCAACCUAAAGAAAGGCACACAAACAAGCUUACAGAUGGGGCAUGUGCAAAGCCACAAAGGCAGGGAAGCAACCCCAGACACACAGCCACACAGACGCACAGCAAGUGAGAGAGGCACAAAUGGUGGGGGUCCGGAGGGGAGGGACUGACCUGAAAGUUAUAGACCAUUUACAU
rnacentral:lncRNA from 1 species